AAGCUCACCCAGCUGGAACUCUUAUGGGACCUUGGCACCAGAGAUCACCAAUUCCUCUUUGAAGUUUUCUAACAGCAUCAAUGGUAUUUCUGACUUGGCUUUCUUGUAUUUCUCUCACGUUAACAAAACUGGUUGAGCAUCUACCACGGGCUACAUGCUGAGCUACAGGUGCUGUUGAUGAAACUGCCAAAGGAGCUGAAUAUGACUGACAUCUUUGGAAGGAUGAGACUUAGCGUGCCCGUACAGUUGUGUCCAAAUGCUGUCCUUAUCUCCCAAUGGAAAGCCCCAAACAAGUCACAUGUGUAAUGCAGUGGGAGAGCAGUGCCCUGAAGGAAAAGGUGGCCUGCUGGACUGCCAAGAGAACAGACGUCCGCUGCAAGUAAUAUGAGCCCCAAGUUGUCUAUCAUGGACAGAGAUACUCACCUGGUGGUUUUGGCUUCUCUAAUCCUCCUGGUGAGAACACCUCCAAGGGAGCUUUCAAUGGCAUUUAAGGUCACUUGUGCUCUUGGGCCUAGAAACUGCCUUGAUAGUGGUUUUAGCCCACAUGAGGUCCCCAGGUUCUGCCUCCAUCCUGACGUCCAGUGUUGGAUUCCUCUUCACAUCAACUCCUCUCUGCAGUUAGCCGAGCAUGGUAGAGCAUGCCUGUAUUCCCAGCUACUCAGGAGGCUGAGGCAGGAGAAUCGCUUGAACUUGGGAGACAGAGGCUGCAGUGAGCUGACAUCGUGUCAUUGCACUCCAGCCUGGGCAACAAGAGCGAACUCCGUCUCCAGAAAAAAAAAAAAAAUAUGGAUAAACAGAGGCAACCCGAGGAUAAAGCCCUUGUUCAGUGUCACACAUUUCAGUCACUAAAUAAGACAGAAUGGAUGCCAGUAUUCUCAUCCCCUUACAAAUAAAGAGCCUUCAAGCUCUUGCAGUCAACAAGAACUUUUGGAAUGAUUUCACUGCCUAAAAAGGCAGAUACAUAGAUGACAUCCACAAACAGGAAGAAAAUCAACCUGAACCUGAGUGUGUGGCCUCACUGACUCUAAGCAGUAGAGACAGAAGAAAAGUAAAGUUUUAGCAAAGAAGGUUCUGAAAGAAAAUAAGUAUAGCUAGUUAUUAAGCGCUGUUUUUACACAGUAAAACAAGGGCAAAAUUACUCUUCUUUAAGUACUAAUUCUUAUCUCUUGAUUAAGUCACCUACUCAUUCGUUUAAUAAAUACAUACUGAUUACCUUCUAUGUGUUGAGCACUCAUCUCUGUAUUGGAAAUAUAAUAUUGACCAAAGUUGACAAUAGUAAUAACAAUAAUAGCUAAUAUAGCAGGUACUAAUGAUUGUUUGUUGAGUAAAAUGUCAAAAUUCAGUGUGAACAGCAUUCUGUUUGGGGCCGCAUCCGUUGACUGUAACACAGCUAAUCUAUCUGAAAUUUUCCACUUUGGGCCUCUCUGACAGAAGAAGCUGUGUUGGGCCUGCCUGUAGUUGGCGAUGCAUCCACCAAUGAGAAUGAAUUUAUGAUCGUUCUUCCUGUAAAGGCAGCUGGAACUGACAGCAUUGUGAUUUUCUUUUACUGUUAGUUUUAAAUUACUAGAACCAACUCCAUUACUAGAACCAACUUUACUUCUUUGUUUCCUACUUACCAAAAUAGUAAAAACAACAUGUAAAAUAAAAGAAAUGCCAUCUUAAUAUUGUUUUGAUGACAAAAUGGUGUUCCUUUCAGUUGUGCUUCAGAUGGAAUAAGACGCAAACAGGCUUGGUAUGGUGGCUCAGCCCUGUAAUCCUAGCCCUUUGGGAGGCCGAAGUGGAAGGAUUGCUUGAGGCCAUGAGUUUGAGACCAGCCUGCGCAACAUAGCAAAACUAUGUCUCUACAAAAAAUAAAAAAUUAGCUGAGUGUAGUGGUGUGUGCUUGUGGUCCCAGCUACUUUUGAGGCUGAGGAGGGAGAAUCUCUUGAGACCAGAAGGUCGAAGUUGCAAUGAGCCAUGAUCGUGCCAUUGCCCUCCAGUUUGGACAACAGAGCAAGAUUCUAUGUCGAAAAAUAAAUAAAUAAAAGACACCAAUAUAUCUGAGAUUAACUUUCAGUAGUAAAUUUGUUCCAUAUAUGAUUUUUAAGGUUAAAUGCUUUGGAAACUUUAAAAAACAUUUCAGCCUUUUUAAAUGCCAGCAUACACUGAUGAUGCUCUCAGAUAUUAGGAAAUCUUUUGAGCAGAAAAUGGAAGUGGGGGUGUUGAGGCAGGGAGGAGAGUGAUGCAAUAUUCCUUAGUGUUGUCCUGUGAUUUCACAAUUUGUUUUUCAAUCUGUUUGGACUUUCAAAAGGGAAGACUCUCAUAUGUCAACGAGCACAUGAACUGAAGCUUAAAACACUGGAAACAGCAACUGUAGAGGUUCAAGUAUAUGUACAUUUAUGUAUUCAUAUUCCUUGAUGGGAAUGCUGGCUGGUGUGAAUGUUCAGUCUCCUGAGAAAUGUAAAUCUUUUCUCUGACAGAUUUACUAGCUUGCUGUAUCUGAGCACAUGAACAAAAACAAUGCCUAAUAAGAAAACUUUCUGUCUCCUUCAAAGUCAAACUCGGAAGAAAUGAAGGGAAAAUGACUUUUCU
rnacentral:lncRNA from 1 species